rnacentral:rRNA from 1 species
UUCCGGUUGAUCCUGCCGGACCCUACUGCUAUCGGGGGAGGACUAAAACAUGCAAGUCGUGCGCCUCCAAGCCAUGGUGGAGACGCGGCAUCCGGCUCAGUAACACGUGGCUAACCCACCCUUGAGACGGAGAAAACCCCGGGAAACUGGGGUUAAUCUCCGAUAAGAGAAGACCCCUGGAAUGGGUCUUCUCUCAAAGGGCGCCUAGACCAUGCUUCUGGGCGUUGCUCAAGGACGGGGCCGCGGCCGAUCAGGUUGUUGGUGAGGCAAUGGCUCACCAAGCCUAUAACCGGUACGGGCCGUGAGAGCGGGAGCCCGGAGAUGGGCACUGAGACAAGGGCCCAGGCCCUACGGGGCGCAGCAGUUGCGAAAACUCCGCAAUGCACGAAAGUGUGACGGGGCUACCCCGAGUGCCGUCCGCUGAGGGCGGCUUUUCCCCGGUGUAAGGAGCCGGGGGAAUAAGGAGAGGGCAAGUCUGGUGUCAGCCGCCGCGGUAAUACCAGCUCUCCGAGUGGUAGGGAUGAUUAUUGGGCUUAAAGCGUCCGUAGCCGGCCCGGCAAGUCUUCCGUUAAAUCCAACGAUUCAAUCGUUGGACUGCAGGAGAUACUGUUGGGCUAGGGGGCGGGAGAGGCCGACGGUAUUCUAGGGGUAGGGGUAAAAUCCUAUAAUCCCUGGAAGACCACCAGUGGCGAAGGCGGUCGGCUAGAACGCGCUCGACGGUGAGGGACGAAAGCUGGGGGAGCGAACCGGAUUAGAUACCCGGGUAGUCCCAGCUGUAAACGAUGCGGGCUAGGUGUUGGGGCGGCUACGGGCCGCUUCAGUGCCGCAGGGAAACCAUUAAGCCCGCCGCCUGGGGAGUACGGCCGCAAGGCUGAAACUUAAAGGAAUUGGCGGGGG